GCCGAAGUGGUGGAAUUGGUAGACACGCUAUCUUGAGGGGGUAGUGACCUACGGUCGUGCCGGUUCAAGUCCGGCCUUCGGCACCA
rnacentral:tRNA from 5 species